UACGUAGGGUGCGAGCGUUGUUCGGAAUUAUUGGGCGUAAAGGGCUCGUAGGCGGUUUGUCGCGUCGGGAGUGAAAUCCACUGGCUUAACUGGUGGCUUGCUUUCGAUACGGGCAGACUGGAGGUAUGCAGGGGAGACUGGAAUUCCUGGUGUAGCGGUGGAAUGCGUAGAUAUCGGGAGGAACACCUGUGGCGAAAGCGGCUCACUGGACAGUAACUGACGCUGAUGCACGAAAGCUAGGGGAGCAAACAGG
rnacentral:rRNA from 1 species